rnacentral:rRNA from 1 species
UUUUCGAUAGGUGAAGAACUCUGGAAUGAGUCUUCGCUCAAAAGCCAUUUAGAUCAUGCUUCUAGAUGGUGCCCAAGGAUAGGGCCGCGACCGAUCAGGUUGUUGGUGAGGUAAUGGCCCACCAAGCCUAUAACCGGUGCGGGCCGUGAGAGCGGGAGCCCGGAGAUGGGCACUGAGACAAGGGCCCAGGUCCUACGGGGCGCAGCAGUCGCGAAAACUUUGCAAUACACGAAAGUGUGACAGGGUCAUCCCGAGUGCCGACCGCUGAGGUUGGCUUUUACCCAGUCUAGAAAGCUGGGGGAAUAAGGAGAGGGCAAGUCUGGUGUCAGCCGCCGCGGUAAUACCAGCUCUCCGAGUGGUGUGGACGUUUAUUGGGCCUAAAGCAUCCGUAGCUGGCUGGACAAGUCCCCUGUUAAACCCACCGAUUUAAUCGUUGGUCUGCGGGGGAUACUGCUCGGCUAGGGGACGAGAGAGGCAGACGGUAUUCCCGGGGUAGGGGUGAAAUCCUAUAAUCCCGAGAAGACCACCAGUGGCGAAGGCUGUCUGCUAGAGCGCGCCCGACGGUGAGGGAUGAAAGCUGGGGGAGCGAACCGGAUUAGAUACCCGGGUAGUCCCAGCUGUAAACGAUGCAGACUAGGUGUUUGGACGGCCACGUGCCGUUCUAGUGCCGCAGGGAAGCUGUUAAGUCUGCCGCCUGGGGAGUA